rnacentral:misc_RNA from 1 species
AAGUAAAAGUCGUAACAAGGUUUCCGUAGGUGAACCUGCGGAAGGAUCAUUACCGAAUUCUUGGUCMAUUAGAGGAAGUAAAAGUCGUAACAAGGUUUCCGUAGGUGAACCUGCGGAAGGAUCAUUAUCGAAUUAUAAGCGAGGGUUGUCGCUGGCCUCGAAAGAGGCAUGUGCACGCCCGAGCUCUUAAAUCCACAACACACCUGUGAACCCACCGUAGGCCUUCGGGCUUAUGUAUCAUAUACUCUGAAUGUGUCAUAGAAUGUUCAUGUUGCCUUAAAACGCAAUCAAAUACAACUUUCAACAACGGAUCUCUUGGCUCUCGCAUCGAUGAAGAACGCAGCGAAAUGCGAUAAGUAAUGUGAAUUGCAGAUUUUCAGUGAAUCAUCGAAUCUUUGAACGCACCUUGCGCUCCUUGGUAUUCCGAGGAGCAUGCCUGUUUGAGUGUCAUUAAAUUCUCAACCCCACCGAUUUGCUUCGGGGGGAUUGGACUUGGAGCGUGCUGGCGAAGGUCGGCUCCUCUUUAAAUGCAUCAGUGGAGAGAAACUUGCCCCAGUGUGAUAAUCCUGUUGCGCUGUGGUGGGUGAAAGUCUGCUUCCAACCGUCCCUCCGGGGACAUACGUCAUCUUAUUUUGACCUCAAAUCAGGUAGGACUACCCGCUGAACUUAAGCAUAUCAAUAAGCGGAGGAAAAGAAACUAACAAGGAUUCCCCUAGUAACUGCGAGUGAAGCGGGAAAAGCUCAAAUUUAAAAUCUGGCGGUCGCUAUGGCCGUCCGAGUUGUAAUCUGGAGAAGUGUUUUCCGCGUCGGACCGUGUACAAGUCUUCUGGAACGGAGCGUCAUAGAGGGUGAGAAUCCCGUCUCUGACACGGACUGCCGAUGCUUUAUGUGAUACGCUCUCGAAGAGUCGAGUUGUUUGGGAAUGCAGCUCAAAAUGGGUGGUAAAUUCCAUCUAAAGCUAAAUAUUGGCGAGAGACCGAUAGCGAACAAGUACCGUGAGGGAAAGAUGAAAAGCACUUUGGAAAGAGAGUUAAACAGUACGUGAAAUU